UUAAGCGACUAAGCGUACACGGUGGAUGCCCUGGCAGUCAGAGGCGAUGAAGGACGUGCUAAUCUGCGAUAAGCGUCGGUAAGGUGAUAUGAACCGUUAUAACCGGCGAUUUCCGAAUGGGGAAACCCAGUGUGUUUCGACACACUAUCAUUAACUGAAUCCAUAGGUUAAUGAGGCGAACCGGGGGAACUGAAACAUCUAAGUACCCCGAGGAAAAGAAAUCAACCGAGAUUCCCCCAGUAGCGGCGAGCGAACGGGGAGCAGCCCAGAGCCUGAAUCAGUGUGUGUGUUAGUGGAAGCGUCUGGAAAGGCGCGCGAUACAGGGUGACAGCCCCGUACACAAAAAUGCACAUGCUGUGAGCUCGAUGAGUAGGGCGGGACACGUGGUAUCCUGUCUGAAUAUGGGGGGACCAUCCUCCAAGGCUAAAUACUCCUGACUGACCGAUAGUGAACCAGUACCGUGAGGGAAAGGCGAAAAGAACCCCGGCGAGGGGAGUGAAAAAGAACCUGAAACCGUGUACGUACAAGCAGUGGGAGCACGCUUAGGCGUGUGACUGCGUACCUUUUGUAUAAUGGGUCAGCGACUUAUAUUCUGUAGCAAGGUUAACCGAAUAGGGGAGCCGAAGGGAAACCGAGUCUUAACUGGGCGUUAAGUUGCAGGGUAUAGACCCGAAACCCGGUGAUCUAGCCAUGGGCAGGUUGAAGGUUGGGUAACACUAACUGGAGGACCGAACCGACUAAUGUUGAAAAAUUAGCGGAUGACUUGUGGCUGGGGGUGAAAGGCCAAUCAAACCGGGAGAUAGCUGGUUCUCCCCGAAAGCUAUUUAGGUAGCGCCUCGUGAACUCAUCUCCGGGGGUAGAGCACUGUUUCGGCAAGGGGGUCAUCCCGACUUACCAACCCGAUGCAAACUGCGAAUACCGGAGAAUGUUAUCACGGGAGACACACGGCGGGUGCUAACGUCCGUCGUGAAGAGGGAAACAACCCAGACCGCCAGCUAAGGUCCCAAAGUCAUGGUUAAGUGGGAAACGAUGUGGGAAGGCCCAGACAGCCAGGAUGUUGGCUUAGAAGCAGCCAUCAUUUAAAGAAAGCGUAAUAGCUCACUGGUCGAGUCGGCCUGCGCGGAAGAUGUAACGGGGCUAAACCAUGCACCGAAGCUGCGGCAGCGACGCUUAUGCGUUGUUGGGUAGGGGAGCGUUCUGUAAGCCUGUGAAGGUGUACUGUGAGGUAUGCUGGAGGUAUCAGAAGUGCGAAUGCUGACAUAAGUAACGAUAAAGCGGGUGAAAAGCCCGCUCGCCGGAAGACCAAGGGUUCCUGUCCAACGUUAAUCGGGGCAGGGUGAGUCGACCCCUAAGGCGAGGCCGAAAGGCGUAGUCGAUGGGAAACAGGUUAAUAUUCCUGUACUUGGUGUUACUGCGAAGGGGGGACGGAGAAGGCUAUGUUGGCCGGGCGACGGUUGUCCCGGUUUAAGCGUGUAGGCUGGUUUUCCAGGCAAAUCCGGAAAAUCAAGGCUGAGGCGUGAUGACGAGGCACUACGGUGCUGAAGCAACAAAUGCCCUGCUUCCAGGAAAAGCCUCUAAGCAUCAGGUAACAUCAAAUCGUACCCCAAACCGACACAGGUGGUCAGGUAGAGAAUACCAAGGCGCUUGAGAGAACUCGGGUGAAGGAACUAGGCAAAAUGGUGCCGUAACUUCGGGAGAAGGCACGCUGAUAUGUAGGUGAAGCGACUUGCUCGUGGAGCUGAAAUCAGUCGAAGAUACCAGCUGGCUGCAACUGUUUAUUAAAAACACAGCACUGUGCAAACACGAAAGUGGACGUAUACGGUGUGACGCCUGCCCGGUGCCGGAAGGUUAAUUGAUGGGGUCAGCGCAAGCGAAGCUCUUGAUCGAAGCCCCGGUAAACGGCGGCCGUAACUAUAACGGUCCUAAGGUAGCGAAAUUCCUUGUCGGGUAAGUUCCGACCUGCACGAAUGGCGUAAUGAUGGCCAGGCUGUCUCCACCCGAGACUCAGUGAAAUUGAACUCGCUGUGAAGAUGCAGUGUACCCGCGGCAAGACGGAAAGACCCCGUGAACCUUUACUAUAGCUUGACACUGAACAUUGAGCCUUGAUGUGUAGGAUAGGUGGGAGGCUUUGAAGUGUGGACGCCAGUCUGCAUGGAGCCGACCUUGAAAUACCACCCUUUAAUGUUUGAUGUUCUAACGUUGACCCGUAAUCCGGGUUGCGGACAGUGUCUGGUGGGUAGUUUGACUGGGGCGGUCUCCUCCUAAAGAGUAACGGAGGAGCACGAAGGUUGGCUAAUCCUGGUCGGACAUCAGGAGGUUAGUGCAAUGGCAUAAGCCAGCUUGACUGCGAGCGUGACGGCGCGAGCAGGUGCGAAAGCAGGUCAUAGUGAUCCGGUGGUUCUGAAUGGAAGGGCCAUCGCUCAACGGAUAAAAGGUACUCCGGGGAUAACAGGCUGAUACCGCCCAAGAGUUCAUAUCGACGGCGGUGUUUGGCACCUCGAUGUCGGCUCAUCACAUCCUGGGGCUGAAGUAGGUCCCAAGGGUAUGGCUGUUCGCCAUUUAAAGUGGUACGCGAGCUGGGUUUAGAACGUCGUGAGACAGUUCGGUCCCUAUCUGCCGUGGGCGCUGGAGAACUGAGGGGGGCUGCUCCUAGUACGAGAGGACCGGAGUGGACGCAUCACUGGUGUUCGGGUUGUCAUGCCAAUGGCACUGCCCGGUAGCUAAAUGCGGAAGAGAUAAGUGCUGAAAGCAUCUAAGCACGAAACUUGCCCCGAGAUGAGUUCUCCC
rnacentral:rRNA from 1 species